rnacentral:rRNA from 1 species
GACGAACGCUGGCGGCGUGCUUAACACAUGCAAGUCGAACGAAGUGGCGAACGGGUGAGUAAUACGUGGGUAACCUGCCCUCCUUUUUGGGAUAAGCCUUGGAAACGGGGUCUAAUACCGAAUACAGGGGGAUGGGCUCGGGGCCUAUCAGCCUGUUGGGGGGGUGAUGGCCUAACAAGGCGGGGACGGGUAGCCGGCCUGAGAGGGUGACCGGCCACAUGGGGACGGGGAUACGGCCCAGGCGGCUACGGGGGGCAGCAGUGGGGGAUAUUGAAGAAUGGGCGAAAGACUGAUGCAGCGACGCCGCGUAGGGUAUGAGGGCUUUAGGGUUGUAAACCUCUUUCACUAUCGAACGGGUAGGUGAAGAAGAAGCGCCGGCUAACUACGUGCCAGCAGCCGCGGUAAUUC